rnacentral:rRNA from 1 species
UUGGCCUACGGGACGCAGCAGUGGGGAAUUUUGCGCAAUGGGGGAAACCCUGACGCAGCAACGCCGCGUGCGGGACGAAGGCCUUCGGGUUGUAAACCGCUUUCAGCAGGGACGAAUUCCGACGGUACCUGCAGAAGAAGCCCCGGCUAACUACGUGCCAGCAGCCGCGGUAAUACGUAGGAGGCGAGCGUUAUCCGGAUUCAUUGGGCGUAAAGCGCGCGUAGGCGGCGCGUCAAGCGGGACCUCUAACCCCGGGGCUCAACCCCGGGCUGGGUCCCGAAC